AUACGUAGGGCGCAAGCGUUGUCCGGAAUUAUUGGGCGUAAAGAGCUCGUAGGCGGUUUGUCACGCCUGCUGUGAAAACCCGAGGCUCAACCUCGGGCCUGCAGUGGGUACGGGCAGACUAGAGUGCGGUAGGGGAGACUGGAACUCCUGGUGUAGCGGUGGAAUGCGCAGAUAUCAGGAAGAACACCAAUGGCGAAGGCAGGUCUCUGGGCCGUAACUGACGCUGAGGAGCGAAAGCAUGGGGAGCGAACAGGAUUAGAUACCCUGGUAGUCCAUGCCGUAAACGUUGGACGCUAGAUGUGGGGGCCUUUCCACGGCUUCCGCGUCGUAGCUAACGCAUUAAGCGUCCCGCCUGGGGAGUACGGCCGCAAGGCUAAA
rnacentral:rRNA from 1 species